UUUUCUUCUUUUCUUCGUAAAUUCCUCCGCAACGGAGCACCCGUGUCACACGGUAGUAAAAUAUAGUUCUUAUAUUAAAAGAGGAGGAGGUGAAGGGAUAUAUAUUUACAGGCCAUUAUUUAUCUUUAUUAGUAAACUUUAAAACACUAAAAAACAAAGCAUUUGCUAUGUUAAGAAAGUUUUUUAAAAUGGAUGUUGAUAAAAAUAAGUACGAUUG
rnacentral:lncRNA from 1 species